rnacentral:rRNA from 1 species
UACGAAGGGGGCUAGCGUUGUUCGGAAUUACUGGGCGUAAAGGGCGCGUAGGCGGUGUGUCAAGUCAGGCGUGAAAGCCCCGGGCUCAACCUGGGAACCGCGCUUGAGACUGGCACGCUAGAGUUCGGGAGAGGAUGGUGGAAUUCCCAGUGUAGAGGUGAAAUUCGUAGAUAUUGGGAAGAACACCAGUGGCGAAGGCGGCUCACUGGUCCGGUACUGACGCUGAGGUGCGAAAGCGUGGGGAGCAAACAGG